UACGGGGGGGCAAGCGUUGUUCGGAAUUACUGGGCGUAAAGGGCUCGUAGGUGGCCAACUAAGUCAGACGUGAAAUCCCUCGGCUUAACCGGGGAACUGCGCAUGAUACUGGAUGGCUUGAGUUUGGGAGAGGGAUGCGGAAUUCCAGGUGUAGCGGUGAAAUGCGUAGAUAUCUGGAGGAACACCGGUGGCGAAGGCGGCAUCCUGGACCAACACUGACACUGAGGAGCGAAAGCCAGGGAGCAAACGGG
rnacentral:rRNA from 1 species